GGGGUUGUGGCUCAGAGGUAGAGCACUCACCUAGCAUGUGUAAAAAACUGGGUUCGAUCCUCAGCACCA
rnacentral:tRNA from 1 species